CCUACGGGAGGCAGCAGUAGGGAAUAUUGCUCAAUGGGGGAAACCCUGAAGCAGCAACGCCGCGUGGAGGAUGAAGGUUUUCGGAUUGUAAACUGCUUUUGUUAGAGAAGAUAAUGACGGUAUCUAACGAAUAAGCACCGGCUAACUCCGUGCCAGCAGCCGCGGUAAUACGGAGGGUGCAAGCGUUACUCGGAAUCACUGGGCGUAAAGAGCGCGUAGGCGGGAUAGCAAGUCAGAUGUGAAAUCCUAGGGCUUAACCAUAGAACUGCAUUUGAAACUGUUAUUCUAGAGUAUGGGAGAGGUAGGUGGAAUUCUUGGUGUAGGGGUAAAAUCCGUAGAGAUCAAGAGGAAUACUCAUUGCGAAGGCGACCUGCUAGAACAUAACUGACGCUGAUGCGCGAAAGCGUGGGGAGCAAACAGGAUCAGAUACCCGGGUAGUC
rnacentral:rRNA from 1 species